rnacentral:rRNA from 1 species
GACGGAGGGGGCAAGCGUUGUUCGGAAUUAUUGGGCGUAAAGGGCUCGUAGGCGGAUCCGCCAGUCCGACGUGAAAUCUCCACCGCUCACCGGGGAGGGGCCGUUGGAUACUACGGAUCUGGAGUUCGGCAGAGGACCAUGGAAUUUCGGGUGUAGCGGUGGAAUGCGUAGAUAUCAGGAGGAACACCGAUGGCGAAGGCAGGUCUCUGGGCCACUACUGACGCUGAGAAGCGAAAGCAUGGGGAGCGAACAGG